AGGAUUAACGCUGGCGGCGUGCCUAACACAUGCAAGUCGAACGAGGUAGCAAUACCUAGUGGCAGACGGGUGAGUAGCGCGUGGUCAACCUACCGUUGAGUGGGGGAUAACUAGCCGAAAGGUUAGCUAAUACCGCAUACGUCUCCGAGGGGCAUCCCUUGGUGAUAAAAGGAGCAAUCCGCUCGAUGACGGGACCGCGUCCCAUUAGCUAGUUGGUAGGGUAACGGCCUACCAAGGCAUCGAUGGGUAGCUGGUUUGAGAGAGCGACCAGCCACACUGGGACUGAGAUACGGCCCAGACUCCUACGGGAGGCAGCAGUGAGGAAUUUUCCGCAAUGGGCGAAAGCCUGACGGAGCGACGCCGCGUGUGGGAAGAAGGCCUUCGGGUCGUAAACCACUGUCGAAGGGAAGAUAAUGACGGUACCCUUGGAGGAAGCCCCGGCUAACUACGUGCCAGCAGCCGC
rnacentral:rRNA from 1 species